rnacentral:rRNA from 1 species
CCUGCCCACUGAGAAGUUGAAGGGCUGCAGUAUUUUAACUGUACAAAGGUAGCAUAAUCAUUAGUUUUUUAAUUGGAGGCUGGUAUGAAUGGUUUGACGAAAAUUAGCUGUCUUUACUAUAAGUAGGUGAAAUUAAUUUUUUUGUGAAAAAGCAGAAAUAAGUUAAAGGGACGAGAAGACCCUAUUAAACUUAAAUAUAUAAAUUUAAUUAUUGGUUAAUAAAUUAAUAGUUGGAUGGUGUGUUUUAUUUGGGGCGAAUAAUAUAAUUAAACAAUAUUUAUAUAUAAUAGUUUUGAUAGAAUAUUUUUGAUCCAAGUGGAUUGAUUUGAAGAGUUAGUUACUAUAGGGAUAACAGCGUAAUAUUUCUUGAGAGUUCAUAUUGACAGGGAUGUUUGCGACCUCGAUGUUGGAUUAAGAGUUCUUUUUAAUGCAGAUGUUAAAAUAGUGAUGGUCUGUUCGACCAGUAAUUUCUUACAUGAUCUGAGUUCAAACCGGUG